GCAUAUCAAUAAGCGGAGGAAAAGAAACCAACAGGGAUUGCCUCAGUAACGGCGAGUGAAGCGGCAACAGCUCAAAUUUGAAAUCUGGCCUCACGGUCCGAGUUGUAAUUUGUAGAGGAUGCUUUUGGCGAGGUGCUUUCCGAGUUCCCUGGAACGGGACGCCAUAGAGGGUGAGAGCCCCGUACGGUAAGACCACCGAGCCUCUGUAAAGCUCCUUCGACGAGUCGAGUAGUUUGGGAAUGCUGCUCUAAAUGGGAGGUGUACGUCUUCUAAAGCUAAAUACCGGCCAGAGACCGAUAGCGCACAAGUAGAGUGAUCGAAAGAUGAAAAGCACUUUGAAAAGAGGGUUAAAAAGUACGUGAAAUUGUUGAAAGGGAAGCAUUCAUGACCAGACUUGGGCUUGGUUGAACAUCCGGCGUUCUCGCCGGUGCACUCUGCCAGUCCAGGCCAGCAUCAGUUUGCCCCGGGGGACAAAGGCGGUGGGAAUGUGGCUCUCUUCGGGGAGUGUUAUAGCCCGCCGUGUAAUGCCCUGGGGCGGACUGAGGAACGCGCUUCGGCACGGAUGCUGGCGUCAUCAAUGA
rnacentral:rRNA from 1 species